AGCUUUGUGCAGUGGCAGUAUCAUAACCAAUGAGGUUUAUCCAAGGCACGAUUAUUGCUAUUGAAAACUUUUCCCAGAAAGAGAGAUCAUCAUAUUAUAGGAUAAAAUGAGAUCAUCUAUUUCUAGGAUAACUAUGAGUU